GCAAAACCUAAAUAUGCAAGUGGGUUUUCCCAAUAAGAGCCUUGAGAUGAUUUCAGCCCUGGCUGACACAUGGAUUGCAUCCUUGUAAGAGACCCUAAGACAAAACAACCUAUUUUAUCUGCUCCUAGAUUCCUAACCCUCAAAAAGUGUGAGAAAAUAUGUUUAUCAUUUCCACCUAAGACUUAAUUUGUUAUGCAGCAAUAGAUAGCUAAUACAAAACUAGUAUAACUUUCCCAACCCAGUGUUUAAAACCAAGGAUUGGCUUGUUUUACCCUUCUAGUUCUGUAUCAUUUCCACUAAUAAUCUUUCUUGGGUAUUGAGAAAUUAUAGGUGAAACAUUUGGCUUGUGUUUGUACUCCAUCAACGUUUAAGCCAUAAUAAUUAGUUUUCCCAAAUAAAAUCUCUGAACAUCCUAUGCACACAGUUUAGAAAAACACUAUACUUAAUCUUUAAUAAAGAUUUUGAAGUCAAAUUUCACCUAUAUAAAGAGUUACAGAGUGCUUAAGCCAGAAUAUCAGAGGUGUUAAUAGGUGUGCAAUAUGUCUAAGCUUUGUGUUGACAAUGGCAAUGACAUAAAAAAGACACUUAGGAGGAGGAGAAAUACAGGAAGAAAGUUUAAGGGUAAAAGAAAUUGAAGUUAAAGUGUAAAAGACCGGGCAUUGUGAAGUUUCUAAGCUGCAAGGCCUGAGUUAAAAAGUAAAAGACCAGGUAUUGUUAAGUUCCUAUGCUACACGCAAAACCUGAAAUUCCUGUAGCUGUUAGGACAAUACCCGGAACUGCCCAGUAAAUAUUGCACCUGACCAUCUGGUUGUUUAAUAACCUAGGACCCUGUGUGGCUUGGCACGUAGGCAUCGCAGGACCUAAACCAAUCAGUUUGAAUGUGUACCCCGCUUUAGAACUGACCUAUCACUCCCGCCCAACCUGUUCCUGCCAAUGAAUGUACUAAUCGUGUUUAAGAAUUGUUGUUUGAUUUUCCCGUGGUGUAUGAUGAUUUGUUAAAGGAGACUGUGAUGUAUGUAAAGUCCCCACCCUCCCCCAAAAGUGUACUUAAGCACUGUUCAACCCCUGCUUGGGGCUCUGGGCUGCUCUCCCUUGUUGAGUGAGCACGGAGCCCCAGCGCGCUGGAUUGGAUCCUCAAUAAACC
rnacentral:lncRNA from 1 species